UGGGGAAUAUUGCACAAUGGGCGCAAGCCUGAUGCAGCCAUGCCGCGUGUAUGAAGAAGGCCUUCGGGUUGUAAAGUACUUUCAGCGGGGAGGAAGGCGAUGCGGUUAAUAACCNCGUCGAUUGACGUUACCCGCAGAAGAAGCACCGGCUAACUCCGUGCCAGCAGCCGCGGUAAUACGGAGGGUGCAAGCGUUAAUCGGAAUUACUGGGCGUAAAGCGCACGCAGGCGGUCUGUUAAGUCAGAUGUGAAAUCCCCGGGCUUAACCUGGGAACUGCAUUUGAAACUGGCAGGCUUGAGUCUUGUAGAGGGGGGUAGAAUUCCAGGUGUAGCGGUGAAAUGCGUAGAGAUCUGGAGGAAUACCGGUGGCGAAGGCGGCCCCCUGACAAAGACUGACGCUCAGGUCGAAGC
rnacentral:rRNA from 1 species